UUUAGGGUUUCCUAAAAUUGACUCUUUCCAAAUCUGCCUUUUGCUCUCUUCUUCAGGUGGAAACUGAUGGUUGCUCCACAUUUGAAUCCUCAGUUUUUGAGGAUUUUCCUGUGAAUUACAGGCUGCUCCUUUGUGCCUUACAUCUCUCAUACGUGUAGAAGAGACGGAGAUAAAACAGUGCUCGAACCCAAACAUAUAUAUAUCUGUAGCUGUCACUCAGGGUAUUCAAGGAAUUUUGUAACAUCUAAAUGCAUAGGCUCAACAGUAUCCUCAGAGAUAAAUUUUAUUUUUGCAUUAUUAGCUACCCUCUUGGGGGAUGACUGAUAGAGAUAAACUUGGUGUCUUAGCGUACGACAGAUUCGAGUACUAGUUGUCACCGUCGACGCCCAUUCUAAUGCUUCUGUGGGUAUUGAGAUAGGUUGAGCUUUUGGAGCCGGAGCUGAAUCUCUCUUCUCUAUUUUUGGAUAGUCUUUCCAAUCAAGACUACUUGUAUAUUGAAACUCUUAGUAGUCAUAUUCUUUUACUUAGAUGCUCUUUUACCGACCUUACUAGGUCAUGGAAUACUCAUUUACUUUUUCUCUUAUGUAUGUUAUCGUAAUUACAUUUCUUGUCUAGAAUAUAUUUGUAUUCCUUA